GCACAGAAAUUGAGUCAAUGGCUUGUUGAGCAGUGUUUCCACCAUACUGAAGGCCUUGGCAGAAGAAGUCGAAGCAGAGGAAGGAGAUGCCAGGGGUAACCCUCCCUGCUCAGGUGCCAGCAGUGCCUUCCUCUCCACCAUCAGUCUGGAUGAACCACACGGAAGGGCUGGGCUGGGCUGCUCGGGCUCCAUCGGGGUCUUCUGCGGGAAUGUCAACUGGUGGAGAAGGGUAACUUCACCCCUGGUAAAAUUCAGCAGGUUGAAAAUUCUCCACUGCACGGGGGAUACUUAGAAACAGUGAACAAUUCAACUGAUUUAUUUAUUUGUUUUCAAAUUAGAACGAGUAUGGGAGGGUACAGAAAGUUCUCGCUGUAGGUCAGACCUCCAUAUGGAAUUUCACCGUGUUAUCGGCCUUAUGACAGUGACCCAGUGCCUCGCUGCCCGGGUCUUCGUGUACCUUAGGACACUGUGGCACACAGGUGGGUCCCCAAACCGAAAAAAUAUUAAGAGAAAGCAGCUGCCAUCGUUGAUGGGACUCCCUGGCUAACGAGAGUGCUGGAUUCCACCUCCAGGUGCGAUGCCCUUUUCCAGAGCGCGCUCCGCACACUCUCACGCCCCGCACCGCUCCCUGCUCGCGGCGGGGUGCUCUGGUGGGAGCGCGGCCGUUGGCGGUGAGCCGUUAGGGCAGCGCGUGGCCGUGCGCAGGUGCGCGCGACAGGUGCGGGCGGGCAGUGCUCCACAGCGGGCGGCCCGCGACGCACCGCAACCGGCGCGGCCCUUCUCUGCCGCCGGGCUCCGCGCCGUGCUGACGGCAGGGCUUCCUCUGCUGCAGGCGUCGCCGGACUCCGGCUCUAAAAAGCGACUGCCCUCUCCUCGCGAGCGCUGCGCGGUUUUGGUCUCCUUUGGAAGUGACGUAAGAAGACGGCGGGACUGCUCACCGCAGCUGGACUGUUUGAGGUAUAGGAGGUCAAGUGACUUGUCCCAGACUGAGUCAGUGCUGUAA
rnacentral:lncRNA from 1 species